GGCUCCAUAGUUUAGUGGUUAUCAUGUCUGCUUUACAUGCAGAAGGUCCUGGGUUUAAGUCCCAGUGGAACCA